GACUGUUCUGCAGACAGAAUGAAUGUUGUUACAGUACUCAUUAGUUUAAGCAUCCAGUACUUGGGUCUAAAAGUCCCUACUUCAUUCCUUGGACAAGGUGGCUGCUCCAAAGAGGUUUCUGUGAAGAUAUCAUAUCAGGCUUGUGAGAGACUGCAGGAGGACAUGCUGCUGCAUGGCUCCACUUCAUUCGAAAAGCAACUACACGUAACAUCUACCCAGAGACUAUAAUGCAGGUACAAAGGAUGCAGCUGGACUGCUAACCAUUUGGCUGGUAACCUUUCCACCUGGCACUCAUUUGCAUUAUUGAAAUAUAUAUUCCAGGUGACUCACCCCCUUUCUUUAGGUUACUGUUUGACUUUCAGACAUAGCUGGGGUCCUUCUGGUUAAAGAUGCAUGAAGUAAGCACCAGCAAGAAGCACCAGCACUGUUAUGCGUCAUCCUCCUUAAAAUCCUUGGUAUGCCUGUGUCUGCUGAUCAGUGCAGAAGAAAGACUAGUUCUAUUUUUAGAUGUGAUGGUAAAAACCAGUAUGAAUGGACACGCCAGCUUUCCUCAUUACAAGAAGAAGACUGAUCUGUCCUCCAGCAGAUAUCAUACAUUGUUUGCCAUGAGACCUGCAUUUAACCAAAGGAGAUCUUGUGGGAAAGGCUUUAUCUGUGACAGAAUGAUAUCUAUUUGAUAACUUACCCGCCGAAGACAGCUGCUGGUGCACAGUAGAAGCCAGAAAGAUAUAAAUGUAAAAAAGAGGUGAACAGAGAAAGAAAGGAUACAUCCUGAAGACAGAAAGAAAAUACUUGAAUCCUUUGACCCAUGUCUGUCUGUUGCCUUCCUGGAUGCAAGAGGGAAAUGAAAAAUGUAGAAAAAGCGUGCAAGCAAGUUCUCUGAGGCUAUUUGAUAAAGCUCCAUCAUGUUAUUAACAAAAGAGGGAAGAACCUGUGUCCAAUUAUGGCACUAGGGUUUUCUGUUGUUAUUUUUCUUAAAUCAGGAGUGAUUACCAUGAUGGCAUGGGGGUGGUCAGGCUAUAAUGAAAGGGAAUGUUUUUUCUAUAUGCAGUAGAAAGUUAGUAUCUUGGAACUCCAUACUAAUAGAUAAAAAUUAAUAGUGCUAUAGGAACCAACUGCCAUCCCUGCUUGUAUUUAGGCAAGAAAAAGGGAACUCAAAUGCUGUUUUUUGUCUCAGCUGAGCAUGCUAGGGUGGGAUUUUUAAAUGCAAAUAUUCAGGAAAGAGGACCUGUGCUUUCUGAGUGCUCCAAAAACAUGUAUUUUGUAAUUUUCUAAACCAUGAGCAAUGUGUUUAAAAUGCUGUCCUGGGACUUCUGAAUGCAGCUUCUCAAUGGUAGUUCUGGAAGGCAAGAGGACAAAAAAUUGCCUGGAUUCUGAUGGAAAUGACAGUGCUUAUGCAGCUUAAGACUUUGCAUAAUACUUGGUUAAAGUGACCUUGCAAAGGUUAAUCUUCCUUGAACAAAAAGAAGAAAAAGUGGUGCUCAAGUCCUUUAGCCUGAUGUUUAUUUUCAAGAGUAGUCUUUUUAUACUAACUGCUUACACUCAAUGGAUGUGCUUUACAGUAAUGCUUAUGCUGUGCAUGUUGCCAUUUCUACUUCCAUUUUAUGCCUACCAAUUUCAUCUGGAUAGAUGACUGCAACUUUUCCUUUUGGAUUUGGCCCUUAGCGCUGUUUCCCCUGUUUCUGUCAUUUUAAGAUGUUUGCGCCAUCCUUUACAAAAGUGCUGAAGCUUUAAAUCAUUGGGAAACUGCAACUAGUGAGAAAUGCAGCUAUUCAUUAGAGGGAACAUUUUGUACAGGCAAAUGUGAUCUUGGAAUUGUGGGCGGUUUGAGCUGAAAUUGAAGUCACUGGCUUUGACUUGGGACUUGAUACACAGAGAGAUUUCUUCUCUGGGCUGUGCUGUAGCUGCUGUAAUCCUUAAACUGGAGCUUUCUCAAUAUGAAAGAGGGGAGGAGCUUUGAUGGCUGUGAACAAACUGAAAUUACUGCCUGUCCUAGUGUCAAAAAUUGCCUUUCUGUGGUGACUUUUCAGGCUACUGUAAAAGCCAACUGUUUGAGAGUGUUUGGAGAAAGCUGAGAGCCAACUUCUCACAGCAGUGGUGAGGAAGGAAGUAAUUUCUGUUCAUUGUUGCAUUCCCACGUAAAUGAUUAGAUUAAGGCCUCUGUAUUUCAUUGUAUUGUAUAAAUUAAUGAUGAUGCUAUUAGGGAUCUACAGUCAUGGAUAUGGGGGAGAGGGGUGUCAUUUUAAUUCUAAAUAAAUUCUACAGGUGCUGCA
rnacentral:lncRNA from 1 species